AAGGAGGAAGUUGGGACCUUUUGUGAGAAAAGACUCAAUGCUGGGGUACACUGAAGAUCGGGGGUGCUGGGCAAUGGUUUCUGGUAGCUUCUCUGAAAGAAGUCAGGCUCAAACCACCUCAAAUCAAGCAAAGACACUGAUUUGGCCAUUUGCUUAAGUAAAGGGUAAACUACACUGGGAACCUCCUCUUUAAGGGGGUGGGGACACCCAGCAGAGUGAUGUGAGGGUUUAUUCAGAGAAGGGAAAGGAAGCAAAAAAUAGGAGAAUUUGGCAGCAAGUUGGAUGAGCUCAGUAGAUUUUGCACUUCUUUUACAAUCCCAGGUCGGGCAUGCAUGAGCAAGGUCCCUGUGAAAAGGGUAAAAACCCUUUUGUUCCGGAGCGGGGGCAGCACCUUAUACAUGGAAAAAGCAAAGGGUCCUUUUACUCCAAUGAAAUCUCUGAGAGAAAGUGGUAGAACUGCUGGGGCUGCGGCAGCAGCAAACACUCCAUGAUUCCCCUCAAAGACCUGUGACCCAAAUCCCUUUGGGGCCAGGAAUGAAUGUCUCAUUUUCCAUAACUGUUUCCAGCUGAUAAGGGGCAUAGACCUGCUCCUGCUUAAAGGCUUAGUCAUGAGUGAGUGGAGCUGGAUGGGAAUUGCAGCCCAGCACCUUCCACAGGUGGGAGGAGCAGCAUCCACAGGUGGGAGGAGCAGCAUCCACAGGUGGGAGGAGCAGCAUCCACAGGUGGGAGGAGCAGCAUCCACAGGUGGGAGGAGCAGCAUCCACAGGUGGGAGGAGCAGCAUCCACAGGUGGGAGGAGCAGCAUCCACAAGUGGGAGGAGCAGCAUCCACAGGUGGGAGGAGCAGCAUCCACAGGUGGGAGCAGCAGCAUGCACAAGUGGGAUCACACUUCCAGAGGCUGAGGUGCUGACAGAUAGCUGUCCUGUA